CCCAAACCAUUUCUCCCUGACCCCUCCGCCGCCACCCUUCCUCUCCACCGGGUCCGCGCGUGGCGGCGGCCUCCGCAGCGUCCUCCGCCGCCGCCGGGUCCGCCACACCUUCUGCGUCCUCACGCCGCUCUCCGACCCCAACUCCCUGACGCCCUGCGCCACCAAGACCGCGACGCCCUUCGCCAUCACGUGCCAACUAAGAUCCACGACAAGAUGGCUCUUGGUCGGAAGCGGGGAACAAGCAAGCUACCGGCAGAGGAGCUGCUUACAGAAUAUGAAAGAGAGAGGGCCCAAACUAUGAUGAGGAACAACCAAGUGUUGCAAAGCCUUGGUGUCACACAAUUGGCUUCUAUUCUCAACAGCUCUUCAAAUGCAAAGAGCAAGGGCGUCGCUCGUGAGGAUUCGGGUUCUUUGUACGAACCGGCUGGUGAUGAGGAGGACAUUGAACAUGGUGUGGUUGAUAAGGUUUCAGAUACGAGGAGUGCAAUCAGAGCCACUUGAGGAACAAGAGGGACAAAGAGAGUCUCAGCAGUACCUAUUGAACAAGACCUACCUGCAAGAGUGACCAGGAAGAGAGCAAGAGACCAAUUGUCUAGUGAGGAAGGUAUUAAUGGCACAUCUACGAAUGAAGUGGAUGGUGCAGUUGUUGCUGCUCCAGCUGCUCCUGGAGAAGCUGAUGAGGAGGAGCUCAUGGACAAUGAA